UACGUAGGUGGCGAGCGUUGUCCGGAAUUACUGGGUGUAAAGGGUGCGUAGGCGGGACUGCAAGUCAGGCGUGAAAUACCGGAGCUUAACUCCGGGGCUGCGCUUGAAACUGUGGUUCUUGAGUGAAGUAGAGGUAGGCGGAAUUCCUAGUGUAGCGGUGAAAUGCGUAGAUAUUAGGAGGAACACCAGUGGCGAAGGCGGCCUACUGGGCUUUAACUGACGCUGAGGCACGAAAGCAUGGGGAGCAAAC
rnacentral:rRNA from 1 species